rnacentral:lncRNA from 1 species
AGGGGAAGGGAAAAGGAAACGGAAAAAUAUGGCUCAUUUGAAUUAUGUACACUUUUAUAAAUAAAAAUGAUACUUAUGAAUGAAAGCUUAAAGUUCAAUACUAGGUUUCGUUAUGAAAAUAAAGUUAAACUUGUAUAAAAGAAUUAGAACUACAGUUAGUUUAAAUUGAUUAUAACCUUAUCUUUUACAAGUAUUAAGAUUUGUUUAAAAG